rnacentral:tRNA from 1 species
UGUUCGAAAGCUUUGAUGGUGACGUACUCCUUGCGCAGGAGUAAAGAGAGUUCAAGUCUCUCUCGAACAGC